rnacentral:snRNA from 1 species
GCACUCACUUCGGCAGCAUAUAUACUAAAAUUUGUAACGAUGCAGAAGUGAUUGGCAUGGCCUCUGUGCAAGGAUGACAUGCAAAUUUGUGAAGAAUUCCAUAUUUAA